UCUCAAUGUUCCUGAGGAAGCUUUUGCAAUCCUUUCAGUUCUGCAAUUCUGAUAGCUAGAACUGCAUACCGAGAGAGGCUGUAGCCACAGGCUAGGCGUGAACAUGACCUGAAAGCAGACCCAACAAACACCACACACCACUGCUCUUUGAAGGCUGCCAUUGGAGAGAUCACUGGGAAUCCAUUUCACUCUGAAUAAGAAGAAAGGACGAAGAGGGAAAUUCUGCCGUGGA
rnacentral:lncRNA from 1 species